GAACAGGUGGGAAAACUCCAGUGUCCACUGAUGCUGAUUGUUGGCGAGGAUGACCAGAACUGGUGCGCCUAUGAAUCUGCAAUGGAUGUCUAUAAAGUUUGGAACUCUACACUAUUCCAUACAUUUUGAAUUGAGAAAGCUACCUGGAUGGCAAGCGAAUCAUCUUCAGCUUCAGAACAGAGAUGAAGGAGAUGAUGGAGCGAGCAGGGAACAGCCAUCUACUGACUCUGCUGUCGUACCCAAACGCAGGUCACCUGAUCGGACCGCC